UUNANAGNGGUNUUCCGUCCUUUAGUUGCUGCANNUAACGCAUUUAAGCACUCCGNNUGGGGAGUACGGCNGCAAGGCUGAAACUCAAANNAAUUGACGGGGGCCCGCACAAGCGGUGGAGCAUGUGGUUUAAUUCGAAGCNACGCGAAGAACCUUACCAGGUCUUGACAUCCUCUGACAACCCUAGAGAUAGGGCCUUCCCCUUUUGGGGGACAGAGUGACAGGUGGUGCAUGGUUGUCGUCAGCUCGUGUCGUGAGAUGUUGGGUUAAGUCCCGCAACGAGCGCAACCCUUGAUCUUAGUUGCCAGCAUUCAGUUGGGCACUCUAAGGUGACUGCCGGUGACAAACCGGAGGAAGGUGGGGAUGACGUCAAAUCAUCAUGCCCCUUAUGACCUGGGCUACACACGUGCUACAAUGGAUGGGUACAAAGAAGCCCGCAAACCCGCGAGGGGUAAGCUAAUCUCAUAAAGCCGUUCUCAGUUCGGAUNGCAGGCUGCAACUCGCCUGCAUGAAGCCGGAAUCGCUAGUUAAUCGCGGAUCAGCAUGCCCGCGGUGAAAUACGUUCCCGGGGCCCUUGUACACCAACCGGCCCGUCAACAACCAACGAAGGAGGUUUUGGUUAANCCACCCCCCGNAAGUUUCCGGGUGGNAGGGUNAAACCCCU
rnacentral:rRNA from 1 species